rnacentral:misc_RNA from 1 species
AAAGUCGUAACAAGGUUUCCGUAGGUGAACCUGCGGAAGGAUCAUUAACACGUAUCCAACGUUAAACCCCCCUGUGAACCUUCAUUCUCACUCUCGGAGCGCAGAGCGAUCCAGCAAUCCCGGUAAAUCAUUGUCGAACAGUUUUGAUUCGGGACUUCUGACAAAUGUAUACUGAAUGCGUGAUGCAGGCAAGUGGCAUGGCUUCCCCAAGCAGGCAGUGAAUGACAGUGUCAUUGUCUGUGUAAGGAAGGCGCUUUACGAUUGCUGUAGGUCGAUCACCGACCGGCAACCGUGCCAGUGGGUCACCAAGCCCCCUUUACACACGUGAUCCCUUUUAUUUAUUCAGGUAGCCGGGCAAACAAAACCAUUCCUGGCAACAAACGAACAACUGUUAACAAUGGAUAUCUUGGUUCUC